UUAGCUUGCUAACAGGCGUCGAGUGGCGGACGGGUGAGUAGCGCGUAGGAAUCUACCAAAUAGCGGGGGAUAGCCCCGGAGAAAUCCGGAUUAAUACCGCAUAAUCUCUACGGAGUAAAAGAGGGGCCUCUAUUUUAUAAAGCUUUCACUAUUUGAUGAGCCUGCGUAAGAUUAGCUUGUUGGUGAGGUAAAAAGCUCACCAAGGCGACGAUCUUUAGCUGGUCUGAGAUGAUGAUCAGCCACACUGGGACUGAGACACGGCCCCAGACUCC
rnacentral:rRNA from 1 species